rnacentral:rRNA from 1 species
CCGAAUGGGGAAACCCAGUGUGAUUCGUCACACUAUCAUUAACUGAAUCCAUAGGUUAAUGAGGCGAACCGGGGGAACUGAAACAUCUAAGUACCCCGAGGAAAAGAAAUCAACCGAGAUUCCCCCAGUAGCGGCGAGCGAACGGGGAGGAGCCCAGAGCCUGAAUCAGCAUGUGUGUUAGUGGAAGCGUCUGGAAAGGCGCGCGAUACAGGGUGACAGCCCCGUACACAAAAGCGCAUGUGCUGUGAGCUCGAUGAGUAGGGCGGGACACGUGGUAUCCUGUCUGAAUAUGGGGGGACCAUCCUCCAAGGCUAAAUACUCCUGACUGACCGAUAGUGAACCAGUACCGUGAGGGAAAGGCGAAAAGAACCCCGGCGAGGGGAGUGAAAAAGAACCUGAAACCGUGUACGUACAAGCAGUGGGAGCNNNNNNNNNNNNNNNNNNNNNNNNNNNNNNNNNNNNNNNNNNNNNNNNNNNNNGGGCGUUAAGUUGCAGGGUAUAGACCCGAAACCCGGUGAUCUAGCCAUGGGCAGGUUGAAGGUUGGGUAACACUAACUGGAGGACCGAACCGACUAAUGUUGAAAAAUUAGCGGAUGACCUGUGGCUGGGGGUGAAAGGCCAAUCAAACCGGGAGAUAGCUGGUUCUCCCCGAAAGCUAUUUAGGUAGCGCCUCGUGAAUUCAUCUCCGGGGGUAGAGCACUGUUUCGGCUAGGGGGCCAUCCCGGCUUACCAACCCGAUGCAAACUGCGAAUACCGGAGAAUGUUAUCACGGGAGACACACGGCGGGUGCUAACGUCCGUCGUGAAGAGGGAAACAACCCAGACCGCCAGCUAAGGUCCCAAAGUCAUGGUUAAGUGGGAAACGAUGUGGGAAGGCCCAGACAGCCAGGAUGUUGGCUUAGAAGCAGCCAUCAUUUAAAGAAAGCGUAAUAGCUCACUGGUCGAGUCGGCCUGCGCGGAAGAUGUAACGGGGCUAAACCAUGCACCGAAGCUGCGGCAGCGANNNNNNNNNNNNNNNNNNNNNNNNNNNNNNNUGCUGGAGGUAUCAGAAGUGCGAAUGCUGACAUAAGUAACGAUAAAGCGGGUGAAAAGCCCGCUCGCCGGAAGACCAAGGGUUCCUGUCCAACGUUAAUCGGGGCAGGGUGAGUCGACCCCUAAGGCGAGGCCGAAAGGCGUAGUCGAUGGGAAACGGGUUAAUAUUCCCGUACUUGGUGUUACUGCGAAGGGGGGACGGAGAAGGCUAUGUUGGCCGGGCGACGGUUGUCCCGGUUUAAGCGUGUAGGUGUGUGUUCCAGGUAAAUCCGGUUCACUUUAACACUGAGGCGUGACGACGAGGCACUACGGUGCUGAAGCAACAAAUGCCCUGCUUCCAGGAAAAGCCUCUAAGCAUCAGGUAACACGAAAUCGUACCCCAAACCGACACAGGUGGUCAGGUAGAGAAUACCAAGGCGCUUGAGAGAACUCGGGUGAAGGAACUAGGCAAAAUGGUGCCGUAACUUCGGGAGAAGGCACGCUGACACGUAGGUGAAGUGAUUUACUCAUGGAGCUGAAGUCAGUCGAAGAUACCAGCUGGCUGCAACUGUUUAUUAAAAACACAGCACUGUGCAAACACGAAAGUGGACGUAUACGGUGUGACGCCUGCCCGGUGCCGGAAGGUUAAUUGAUGGGGUCAGCGCAAGCGAAGCUCCUGAUCGAAGCCCCGGUAAACGGCGGCCGUAACUAUAACGGUCCUAAGGUAGCGAAAUUCCUUGUCGGGUAAGUUCCGACCUGCACGAAUGGCGUAAUGAUGGCCAGGCUGUCUCCACCCGAGACUCAGUGAAAUUGAACUCGCUGUGAAGAUGCAGUGUACCCGCGGCAAGACGGAAAGACCCCGUGAACCUUUACUAUAGCUUGACACUGAACAUUGAGCCUUGAUGUGUAGGAUAGGUGGGAGGCUUUGAAGUGUGGACGCCAGUCUGCAUGGAGCCGACCUUGAAAUACCACCCUUUAAUGUUUGAUGUUCUAACGUGGACCCGUAAUCCGGGUUGCGGACAGUGUCUGGUGGGUAGUUUGACUGGGGCGGUCUCCUCCUAAAGAGUAACGGAGGAGCACGAAGGUUGGCUAAUCCUGGUCGGACAUCAGGAGGUUAGUGCAAUGGCAUAAGCCAGCUUGACUGCGAGCGUGACGGCGCGAGCAGGUGCGAAAGCAGGUCAUAGUGAUCCGGUGGUUCUGAAUGGAAGGGCCAUCGCUCAACGGAUAAAAGGUACUCCGGGGAUAACAGGCUGAUACCGCCCAAGAGUUCAUAUCGACGGCGGUGUUUGGCACCUCGAUGUCGGCUCAUCACAUCCUGGGGCUGAAGUAGGUCCCAAGGGUAUGGCUGUUCGCCAUUUAAAGUGGUACGCGAGCUGGGUUUAGAACGUCGUGAGACAGUUCGGUCCCUAUCUGCCGUGGGCGCUGGAGAACUGAGGGGGGCUGCUCCUAGUACGAGAGGACCGGAGUGGACGCAUCACUGGUGUUCGGGUUGUCAUGCCAAUGGCACUGCCCGGUAGCUAAAUGCGGAAGAGAUAAGUGCUGAAAGCAUCUAAGCACGAAACUUGCCCCGAGAUGAGUUCUCCCUGAGACUUAGAGUCUCCUGAAGGAACGUUGAAGACGACGACGUUGAUAGGCCGGGUGUGUAAGCGCAGCGAUGCGUU